AACGAACGCUGGCGGCAGGCCUAACACAUGCAAGUCGAGCGAGCAUUUCGGUGCUAGCGGCGGACGGGUGAGUAACGCGUGGGAACGUGCCCUUUUCUGCGGAAUAGUCCUGGGAAACUGGGGGUAAUACCGCAUACGCCCUUUUGGGGAAAGAUUUAUCGGAGAAGGAUCGGCCCGCGUUGGAUUAGGUAGUUGGUGGGGUAAUGGCCCACCAAGCCGACGAUCCAUAGCUGGUUUGAGAGGAUGAUCAGCCACACUGGGACUGAGACACGGCCCAGACUCCUACGGGAGGCAGCAGUGGGGAAUCUUAGACAAUGGGGGCAACCCUGAUCUAGCCAUGCCGCGUGAGUGAUGAAGGCCUUAGGGUUGUAAAGCUCUUUCAGCUGGGAAGAUAAUGACGGUACCAGCAGAAGAAGCCCCGGCUAACUACGUG
rnacentral:rRNA from 1 species